rnacentral:rRNA from 1 species
CAGUAGCCACGGUAAUACAGAGGGUGCGAGCGUUAAUCGGAAUUACUGGGCGUAAAGCGCGCGUAGACGGUUUUGUAAGUCAGAUGUGAAAUCCCCGGGCUCAACCUGGGGGCUGCAUUUGAUACGUCCGAACUAGAGUGUGGAAGAGGGUCGUGGAAUUCCCAGUGUAGAGGUGAAAUUCGUAGAUAUUGGGAAGAACACCGGUGGCGAAGGCGGCGACCUGGUCCGUAACUGACGCUGAGGAGCGAAAGCGUGGGGAGCGAACAGGAUUAGAGACCCCCGUAGUCCCUGUCUCUUAUAA